rnacentral:miRNA from 1 species
UAGAGCAUGCUUGUACAAAGGA